CAGUAAGGGCUUCAACUGACCUUACUCAAACUAGGGACUGUUCCCAGCGUAUUCAUCAGGUCACCGAGGGUCUGAGGAGUUUUGUCUGUGACUCGUCCUGCUACAAGACCACGCAGGGACGCCUGCCUUGGUUGCUCCUCGCCAUGCCGAGCUAGGUCCCAAUUCUUCCUCAGCCUCUGCUCCUCCACCCUAUAAUCCUUUUAUC